rnacentral:sRNA from 1 species
CUUGGUCAUUUAGAGGAAGUAAAAGUCGUAACAAGGUUUCCGUAGGUGAACCUGCGGAAGGAUCAUUACAUUCAGUAGCCUAGCUACUUGUUUACACCCUUGUUUUUUGCGUACCUAUUGUUUCCUCGGUGGGCUUGCCUGCCGGUUGGACAAAACUUAUAACCUUUUUAAAUCUUCAAUCAGCGUCUGAAUUAUACAUAAUAAUUACAACUUUCAACAACGGAUCUCUUGGUUCUGGCAUCGAUGAAGAACGCAGCGAAAUGCGAUAAGUAGUGUGGAUUGCAGAAUUCAGUGAAUCAUCGAAUCUUUGAACGCACAUUGCGCCCCUUGGUAUUCCAUGGGGCAUGCCUGUUCGAGCGUCAUUUGUACCUUCAAGCUUUGCUUGGUGUUGGGCGUUUUGUCUUUUCUCUUCUGAUUAGACUCGCCUUAAAGUCAUUGGCAGCCAGUGUUUUUGGUAGUAAGCGCAGCACAUUUUGCGUCUUAGUCCUUAAAUAGCGGCAUCCAUAUAGCUACUUUUUCACUUUUGACCUCGGAUCAGGUAGGGAUACCCGCUGAACUUAAGCAUAUCAAUAAGCGGAGGAAAAGAAACCAACAGGGAUUGCCCUAGUAACGGCGAGUGAAGCGGCAAUAGCUCAAAUUUGAAAUCUGGCUCUUUCAGAGUCCGAGUUGUAAUUUGCAGAGGGCGCUUUGGCGUUGGCAGCGGUCCAAGUUCUUUGGAACAGGACGUCACAGAGGGUGAGAAUCCCGUACGUGGUCGCUAGCCUUCGCCGUGUAAAGCCCCUUCGACGAGUCGAGUUGUUUGGGAAU